UAAGCGCGGAGGCCUGAACAGACAUGC
rnacentral:piRNA from 1 species